CUAAUACAAGUGAUAAACAAUUCAGUUCUACAGGAUUUUCUGAAAAAUUAUCAGGAAACAAACUAAAAACUUUGGGAAACAUCCAGAGUUUUAUUCAUCCACAAAUUUAUCCAGGAAAUGGAGCUGACAAAUGAAAAAUACAAAUUUGCCAUAGUAAAAUUUCCUGAAGAAGAUGAUGCUCUAGGAAUAAUAGCCUUAUGCUGGAUUCAAAAUGAUGGGAGCACAUGUUUAUACCCACCCGUGACCACUGAUAGCAAAAGAAAUAAAUUAUUGAGGAAAGAAGCCUUACCAUUACAAUCCUGGAGUUCUCAUAAGAUAUCUUUAAUGUAAAAAUAUGCUUCAUUCUCAUCCUCACCAUCUACUGGUAUGGAAGUUCGUGAAAUGUGGUCUUCCAUCCCUCCAAAUUCAUUAACUCCUAGGCCUAGUUCAUUCUCCAAUGCCAAAAUUCCUCCAGCACCACUUGCUUCAGCACCACUUGCUUCAGCACACUGCCCGAGAAAAUAAAAAUCUGCACCACUGGAUGUUGAGCGGAUCUGGCUCAUUCUUGGCCAGUUACAAGCUGCAGCAGCUAGCCAGUCUGAGGAAAUCUCUCAGCUGAACAGAAAAAUUGACCUGUUAUUGGCUCGAGGAUGUGUCAACAGUACUUAUCAGGAGGCGGAUGAAAGUAAUGAGCAGGCACUAAACAGUCUCCCUUUAUCAUCAAUGGAAGAAUUUGAUGAAUUUGAGGAAAAAUUGAAACAACAGGAAUUCAAAA